rnacentral:tRNA from 1 species
AGAGAUUUAGGUUAAGGAGACCUAAGACCUUCAAAGUCUUUAGUGGGGAAAAUUCUUCAUUCUCUG